rnacentral:misc_RNA from 1 species
GGAAGUAAAAGUCGUAACAAGGUUUCCGUAGGUGAACCUGCGGAAGGAUCAUUAUUGUAUAACCGGGGUGCGAGGGCUGUCGCUGACCCGAAAGGUCGUGCACGCCCGAGUGCCCUCACACACUUCCAUCUCACCCCUAUGUGCACCACCGCGUGGGUCCCCCUUUGGCUUGUUCGGAGGGGGGCUUACGUUUUCACACAAACUUUGUAUGCAGUGUAGAAUGUAUUUUUUGUUUUUGCGAUCACGCAAUCAAUACAACUUUUAACAACGGAUCUCUUGGCUCUC